rnacentral:lncRNA from 1 species
UAAUAAGAAAAUUAUCACAUUUUGUUUGAAUAUAUUUAUUUAUUAAAUACAUUUUUUAAUUCUUUUAAAUAUAAAUAUUUAUAUAUAUUUUGAUAGCAAUAUUCAGACAUUUGUUUAAGAAACAAUUUGGCUGGUCUAAAAGAGGGAAAGGUUAAGUUUUAAGGUUUUAAGAUGUUUUUUACUUAUCACAGGAUGUUACAUAAUUUUUUUAGAAUAUGUUCUGAAAUAAAUUAAAUAUACAAUCAUAAAAUGCUACUCAAGUGCAAUAUAAAAAUGAAAAUGUAGUUUUGAUACUAAAUAUUGCAAAAACUGAAUCUUUCAAUAAUCAUGAGUGUUUUGUAUUUUUCACUUGCUAUAAGUUGGUUUGUGUUGAUUUAUGAUUUACAACAGAAAAUGCAUUACUUCAACAAAUGUUAGUUUUUUACACAUUAGUUAUAUAAUCUCCUAUGAAAUGGCUCAUCUAAAUCUAAUUUCCUGCAGGAUGCCUGUUAAAAAGAAAAACUGAAGAAAUUUUAAAACUAGAUGAUACCAGCUAAAGAAGUUGAAACACCGUUAUUCAUGGUGUCAUAUUGAGGCUUUAGUUCUCCAUUUAUAAAAUUAGUGUAAAAGUGGAUGAAAGCUCUAAAGAAAACGAUAACGAUAAACUUUAAAGCAGAAUUUUGUCAUGCGAUAUGGUGGCGAUAUGAGAGAACUACUGUGGCAGAAUACUACUAUCGUAGAACAGUUUUGCAUCAAAUCAUUGUAUAAUAUUAGUUUUUUUUUGCUUAAAAAUAUUAUGAAACUCAAA